UACGUAGGGGGCAAGCGUUGUCCGGAAUCAUUGGGCGUAAAGAGCGUGUAGGCGGCCUGGUAAGUCCGCUGUGAAAGUCCGGGGCUCAACCCUGGAAUGCCGGUGGAAACUGUCAGGCUCGAGUCCGGAAGAGGCGAGUGGAAUUCCUGGUGUAGCGGUGAAAUGCGCAGAUAUCAGGAGGAACACCAUGGCGAAGGCAGCUCGCUGGGACGGUACUGACGCUGAGACGCGAAAGCGUGGGGAGCAAACAGG
rnacentral:rRNA from 1 species